rnacentral:lncRNA from 1 species
AGUAAAAAGUACUUGACAACAGAGCCACCGCAGAAGCUCUGGUGUCACAGAGAGGCAACAAAAAUCCAAAGAGAGAUUCUUUAUUUUCAAAAAGUAAGCAACUUCUUCUUCUUGUUUUCACAAUGGAAGCCAGAACAGCACUGAAACACACUUCUGGAGUCUAGACUAGACCCUGUAUAAACCCUCCAUUAACAACAAUAAAAUUUUGGUUGCUACCCUUCAAAAAAAAACUGACAAGCUCUGACCCACCAUUGCAAUCAUAUUAAUAUUAUUCGUGUUCAUGAUGUUAAUUAAAGAUUUUACAGAGUUUAGGAAUAGAAUAAUUGUAGUAACGUUAAGAAUAAUAAGCAAUGAGAUUACAGAGAGAGAGAGAGAGAGAGAGAGAGAGAGAGAGAGACGUACUNNNNNNNNNNNNNNNNNNNNGAGAGAGAGAGAGAGACCUGAUAGCAACUUCAGUACCAGAGUGAGCUACUGAGACUGAGGAGCGUAGAAGGACCCAACUAAAGCUCAAGUCUUUGAAAGUUAGAAACUCUGGUCGCUUCUUUCUUC